rnacentral:rRNA from 1 species
AUCUGCAGUCGAGGGGCAGCGCAGUGUAGCAAUACAUGGGCGGCGACCGGCAAACGGGUGCGGAACACGUACGCAACCUUCCUUCAAGCGGGGGAUAGCUUUCGGAAACGAAAAUUAAUACCCCAUAGCAAUAUCUGAGGGCAUCUGAGGAUAUUUAAAGAUUUAUCACUUGAAGAUGGGCGUGCGGCUGAUUAGGUAGUUGGCGGGGUAACGGCCCACCAAGCCUACGAUCAGUAACUGGUGUGAGAGCACGACCAGUCACACGGGCACUGAGACACGGGCCCGACUCCUACGGGAGGCAGCAGUAAGGAAUAUUGGUCAAUGGACGCAAGUCUGAACCAGCCAUGCCGCGUGGAGGAUGAAGGUCCUCUGGAUUGUAAACUUCUUUUAUCGGAGAAGAAACCCCUGAAUUCUUUUAGGGUUGACGGUACCCGAUGAAUAAGCACCGGCUAACUCCGUGCCAGCAGCCGCGGUAAUACGGAGGGUGCAAGCGUUAUCCGGAUUCACUGGGUUUAAAGGGUGCGUAGGCGGGUUGGUAAGUCAGUGGUGAAAUCUUCAAGCUUAACUUGGAAACUGCCGUUGAUACUAUCAAUCUUGAAUAUUGUGGAGGUAAGCGGAAUAUGUCAUGUAGCGGUGAAAUGCUUAGAUAUGACAUAGAACACCGAUAGCGAAGGCAGCUUGCUACACAAUAAUUGACGCUGAGGCACGAAAGCGUGGGGAUCAAACAGGAUUAGAUACCCUGGUAGUCCACGCCCUAAACGAUGGAUACUCGACAUACGCGAUACACAGUGUGUGUCUGAGCGAAAGCAUUAAGUAUCCCACCUGGGAAGUACGACCGCAAGGUUGAAAC